UACGUAGGUGGCAAGCGUUGUCCGGAUUUAUUGGGUUUAAAGGGUGCGUAGGCGGCUUUGUAAGUCAGUGGUGAAAUAUGGCAGCUCAACUGUCAAGGUGCCAUUGAUACUGCAGAGCUUGAGUACAGAUGAGGUAGGCGGAAUUGACGGUGUAGCGGUGAAAUGCUUAGAUAUCAGGAGGAACACCUGUGGUGUAGACGGCUUACUGGACCGCAACUGACGCUGAGACACGAAAGCGUGGGUAGCAAACAGG
rnacentral:rRNA from 1 species